CAAUAGCGUAUAUUAAAGUUGUUGCGGUUAAAAAGCUCGUAGUUGGAUUUCUGCUGAGGACGACCGGUCCGCCCUUCGGGUGAGUAUCUGGUUUGGCCUUGGCAUCUUCUUGGUGAACGUAUCUGCACUUGACUGUGUGGUGCGGUACCCAGGACUUUUACUUUGAGGAAAUUAGAGUGUUUCAAGCAGGCAUACGCCUUGAAUACAUUAGCAUGGAAUAAUAAGAUAGGACCUCGGUUCUAUUUUGUUGGUUUCUAGAGCUGAGGUAAUGAUUAAUAGGGAUAGUUGGGGGCAUUCGUAUUUAACUGCCAGAGGUGAAAUUCUUGGAUUUGUUAAAGACGGACUACUGCGAAAGCAUUUGCCAAGGAUGUUUUCAUUGA
rnacentral:rRNA from 1 species